AUUUAUAAUGGUAUCUUUUCUUCGUACAUACAUAGAGAUCAAAACCUGCUUGGAGCAAAAUUCAUUGUAGCAGGUAGCCAUAUGGUUAUAAUAUGUGAUAACGCGUUUGCGUUUGUAUUUCCUGUAGGUAUAUUGUUAGCGAAUGGAAUGAUAACUGUUUAAUUUAUCGCCAGGAGGAACGCUUGCUGUCCAAUAGCGUUCAAAUGAGAGUGACACAAAUACAUUUUCACACGCACGCAUAUACGUAAAUUUACUCUUUCGCUUGGCGUACGGACGUGAGAACAUUUCGCAUUCGCCGUUAAUGUUAUCGAGUUUAAUGUUUCACAUAUGGCAACGACUAUGACGGUUACUGUGGCCGCUUCGACGGUGACUGCUGAUAUACCACACCACAAACUCCAUUAUCGUCUUGCAAGAUGCAUUCUUCUAAUGAUCCUUUUUGUGGAUAAAAAAAAAAAACAUUCAAAACAUACAAUUACUGUUGCCAUCAAAAUAUGACUGUUCGUCAUUAUUUCAAGCCGUGUUAGCGCCAUGCAUGUUUUGAAGUCGCAAUCUUUGUUAUUUUAUGUGGUUUCUGAAAUUACUAUUACAAGUUGCCAUUCAUAACUCCAUAGUAUUAUACAGUGUUUUUCGACAUAUCUAUGUAUAUCAACUAGUGAAAUAA